GUGCUCACUUCAGUAGUAUAUAUACUAAAAUUGGAAGGAUACAGAGAAGACUAGCAUGGCCCCUGCUCACGGAUGACGUGCUAAUUCAUGAAGUGUUUCAUAUUUUU